UACAGAGGUCUCAAGCGUUGUUCGGAUUCAUUGGGCGUAAAGGGUGUGUAGGUGGCGCCGUAAGUCGGGUGUGAAAUCUCGGAGCUUAACUCCGAAACUGCAUUCGAUACUGCCGUGCUUGAGGACUGGAGAGGAGACUGGAAUUUACGGUGUAGCGGUGAAAUGCGUAGAUAUCGUAAGGAAGGCCAGUGGCGAAGGCGGGUCUCUGGACAGUUCCUGACGCUGAGGCACGAAGGUCAGGGGGAGCAAACGGG
rnacentral:rRNA from 1 species